ACUCUCUGGCAAAUGGCAAAGAGACAACUUGUUGGUGGUGGUGUUCUUAUAUCAGUCAGGGGCAGAGCAGAUGGCAGUCCCUUAUUUAUCUUGGCUUGAUGCCUGCUUGGUGGCCAAAGCUGUUUUGUGUUUAGGACUCAUAA